UUGUAAUUCUAUCUCGUUUCUUGCUUUAUAUAUUUUGAGGGUGUUCAUUAGGAAUAUUCAAAUUAAAAAUUGUUAUAUAUUCCUGAUAAAUAUGUAAUGACCCUCUCUAUUCCUGAUAAUGCAUUUUUCUGGGUUCUUUUGGGAAACAAGUUCUCAGUUGGUAGGGUUGUGGCAAAGCCCCAUAUUUUCUGACUGGCUGUACGCCCUAGGGCUCCUGAAGGCAGGCCUGCCUCUUACUCAAAUAGCCCUCAAACUGCUGUGUUGUCAUGCUGCCUGUUACCUGGUGAAAAACAAAACCCCAACUCUCAUUGGGCUUUCUGAUCCCAGCUAUCAUCCCCCUUUCUCUUGCAUGGUGAGGAACUGUUUCCUGGUCCCCAGGCCAAGCAGACCACUCUCAUUAUACUUUACCUGUGGUACUUGGUGGUGGUAGGGGGGCUGCAGGGGAUAGCGUGGAAGCUGGCACGAUGCUGGGCUCAUAGUAAGUGUUGUUAUAAUGGGAGAUACCCAUAGGAGGGUAAGUUACAGCUCAAAAAGAGUUUUUUUCAUUGUCAAAGUGAGAACAGGCUGUGUGGGGUUUUAGUCCUGACUUUGCCCCUAGCCCUACUGGGGCCUAGUCUGGCUCCAGUGUUUCUGCCUGCCCAUGACUCCGGAUACUAAUUCUGUUGUCUAAUGUGUGACCUACUCUCCUGUUUUGGUCACCCACUAAUUUCAUCAGCAUGCCAUCAGAAUUAUACAGAAUGCCAUGUAUAAGUUUAGUUGAGCAAAAUUUGACCACUUGCUGUGUGUCAGGCCUCCUGCUGUACACUGAAGACACAGAGAUGAACGAGGUGUGUUCCUAGACACAGAACCGUAAUUUCAGGGCAGUGUGGUCAGUGC
rnacentral:lncRNA from 1 species